rnacentral:tRNA from 1 species
GAGGGUAUAGCUCAAGUGGUAGAGCGCAUGCUUAGCAUGCAGGAGGCCCUGGGUUCAGUGCCCAGUCCCUCU